CAUAGCUGUCUAUCUCCUUUGCCCCAGAAAUCAUUACUCAUCACGUUACUUCUCUUGGCAGGCAGGCACAACUCGGUAAAAUAUUUGUGUGUGUAAUAAUCGCCUUUAGCUCAUAAAGUCUGUUGUCCACAUAUGAAGGAAAAUAUGUUGCAAAAUGGGAGAGCUUGUACACUUGCGAACUUGUAUAAAAACAUUGAAACAUUUUCACUUGUAUUCAACAUGCUUACACAUUUGAGCUGAUGAAAUGGGAGCUUGUAGAAAUUUGCUCUUACUGAAAUUUUUACUCAGAAAAUAUUUACACCAUUUUCUGAAUGGGGUGUCACUAAUAUAGUGUAGAUUGAUGUUUACAUAACUACAAUGACAGCUAACAUUUCGCAUUUUGCAACAAUUACCUUCAUAUCCAAAGCGCUUAGUUGUUAGGUUUGUGUGGCUUUUUGACUUAACUUUUAAAAAAGAGACAGUAUAUAUAGUAGACAUUAGAACAAUUUGAAUACAAUGACUGUAUUUGGAACUAAAAUGACUGUUGUACUUGUUUUCAGAUUUCUACCAGUGCAAACAGCAGUUGGACGUCUCAGAAGACACCAAAGAAAGCCACGCAGUCUUGCUAGCCUUUACAUCUCCUUACUACUGUCUCGGAGAUUGCAAGUGAAAUGAGAUUACUACAGGAUAUGCAGCAUGAGUUUACUAUGGAUUUGUUUUCAAGAGGUCUCCAAGAAUAUGGUGUGCAAGAUGAGGCUUUACAAAAUCUAGGGAAAUGUGCAUAUGAACAAAGCCCUAUGCAGCGCACUCUAAGUGCAAGUAGUGGCACCUUAACCACACACCACAAAAGACUUCAGUUUUACAGGAGAGAAUUCAACUUGGUAGAACCAGUACAAAUAACUUUAGGCCAUAAUGACAAAGGCAAGACAAGACAUUUUCACUAUGCUCCCAUUUUAGAAAGCUUAAAAGCUAUCUUGAGAAAUGGAAGUGUACAGCAUCAAAUUCUAAAUCCUACUCAUGCUGACGAGAGCAUGCUAUGUGACAUUGGAGAUGGUUCGGUCUCUAAAUCUAGUGAACCGUUUGCCUCUGAUCCGCAUGCUCUUCAGAUCAUGUUGUUUCAAGAUGCUUUUGAAGUCGCAAACCCUCUGGGGUCCGCCAGGCUAAAACACAAAGUUCUUGCUGUGUACUACACUUUAGGUAAUGUCUAUGCACACCACCGAUCCACCGUUGACUCAAUACAGCUUGUACUACUUUGUUUGGAGAAGGACUGUAAGUUGUUUGGACCUGAGAGAGUUUUUGAUGUUUUGUAAUCAGACUUGUGUGACCUGGAGUCAACAGGCAUUUGUGUUGAAGGGAAAACCUUCAGAGGUAGUAUUGCCUGUGUCAUUGGAGACAAUCUUGGGUCUCACUAUCUUGGGGGAUUUACUGAAAAUUUCAGCUGUGCAGAAUAUUUUUGCAGGUACUGUCAUGUUAAAAAAGAGGAUUUUCAAAGAAAUCCUCUUUCUACAGCCACCGAGAGAACACCAGCUAGUUACAGUGAAUCAUUGCUGGAGUUGGAAAAUAACCCAGAAAUCCUAAUGCACAAAGGCAUCAAGUCAAACAGUGUUUUGAACAAACUCGCACAUUUCCAUGUUUGUGCACCAGGACUCCCACCCUGCCUUGCCCAUGAUUUAUUUGAGGGCAUAGUUGACUAUGAUUUGGCGAUGUACCUGCAGUUCCUAGUAAAAUCAAGGAAGUGGUUCAGUUAUGAUGUACUUAACCGCAGAAUUGUGACUUUUAGAGGUGAGAGUCGGAAUAAGGCUAAUGUUCUACCUACCAAUGGGACCAAACUUGGGGGACAUGCUGCCCAAAACUGGUGGCUUCUUCGGUUCUUGCCAGUACUGUUACAUGACAAGGUCAGAGACCCUAAGGAUGAAGUUUGGCAACUUGUACUGCUACUUAGGCAGGUGGUUGAGCUUGUGUGUGCUCCCGCACUGUCAGAAUCACAGGCUGCCUACAUGAAGGUCCUCAUUGAGGAGUACAUAGAAACGAGGCAUCUCCUCUUCCCACUUAAAAAGCUUAGACCUAAACAUCAUUACCUUUUACAUUAUUCAGAUCUCACAUUACAGUUUGGACCCUUAAUUCGUAUAUGGACUAUGCGAUUUGAGAGCAAGCACAGCUAUUUCAAGAGGUGUAUUCGGGCAAGUAAGAACUUCAGAAACAUCACAAAAUCCCUUUCAGAGAGGCAUCAGUUGCUGCAGGCCUACCAAAGCAGGGGCAAUCUGUUCUUUCCGGAGUUGAUCAUGUCUGACUGUACAAGGUUUUACCCAGAGUUGUAUGAUAGUCAAGUUAAGGACGCGUUUAAAGUGUUUGAUGUCUCACCAUCAAAUGCGGUAGUGACAGACAAAAUUACUGUACGAGGCACAUGCUAUGCAAAUGACAUGCUUGUUAUUUUGAGCUGCGAGGGUGGAGAGUUAACUCUCGGGCUGAUUGCAUGCAUUGUAGUGAAACAACAAAAGACUGUGCUUCUUUUGCUCCGACAGAAAAGAGCAAGUCUUGAUCCAGAUAUUGGUGUUUUUGAAGUAGAGAGUGAAGGUGGUACUUUUAUUUGCCAAAGACUUGAUGGGCUUCUUGAUUACAUCCCACUUAGACACUACCGUAGAGGUGGCAGACUGCUGGUUGCUCUUAAACACAGUCCACCAUGGAGCCUGUAAGGGAGAAGAUCAGAAGCACACUGCCUUCACUGGAAGAGGAGCAAAUAGAAACUCUUGUCACAAAGUUGACGGAUAUUGGAGUUACAAAUCUGGAAGACUGCACGUUUUUAACAGCAGCUGACUUUGAUGGGAUUUUGUCAUUGAUACAGUCCAGGCGGCUGAUAAAUGCAUUCUCCUCAGCAUCUCAGAGCACCUUGGUUGUGUCCGGUGCGCCAAGCGAGCAUCUGGUGGGGACGCCAACUGUGGUGCUAAACGAGCAUCUGGUGGGGACGCCAAGUGCGACGCCUCCACAGAAGUUUCAAAUCCCUUGGCAGAAGUUCCCAGUUACGUUGAUGAAUGCACUGAAGGAGAAGAAGAGACCACCACCAAAAGAUAGAAGGCACA